rnacentral:rRNA from 1 species
GGUUCGCCGCCGGCGACGUCGCGAGAAGUCCACUGAACCUUAUCAUUUAGAGGAAGGAGAAGUCGUAACAAGGUUUCCGUAGGUGAACCUGCGGAAGGAUCAUUGUCGAAACCUGCUGAGCAGAACGACCCGAGAACACGUGCGAUUGCCAUUCGGGGCGGAGGUGGGCCCAGGCCCCCCUACGACCCAUGGUGAUGGCGGAGAAGUCGGCGCAUUCGUGCGUCGGCUGCUUCGCCCAUCCCCAUUAACAGAACCCCGGCGCGGUCAGCGUCAAGGAAAAACAAACAGAAAAAGAAGGCGACGUCCGAUGCCUGCCCCGGGAACGGUGUGCAGACAGGACGUUUUGCCGUCUCUUUAGAAUCAAAACGACUCUCGGCAACGGAUAUCUCGGCUCUCGCAUCGAUGAAGAACGUAGCGAAAUGCGAUACUUGGUGUGAAUUGCAGAAUCCCGUGAACCAUCGAGUCUUUGAACGCAAGUUGCGCCCGAAGCCUUCUGGCCGAGGGCACGUCUGCCUGGGUGUCACGCACCGUCGCCCCCAACACCUCCCCGCCCUGGGGACGUCGUUGGGGACGGAUUUUGGCCUCCCGUGCGCGAGAGCGAGCGGUUGGCCUAAAACUCAGUGCCCGGCGGGGAUCGCCACGACAAUGCGGUGGUUUGAAAUCAAUGCCCUCGGACGUUGUCGCGUGCCCCUCAAAGGGAGAAGGGACCCCCGUGAACGAAUCACGCUCCAAUCGAGACCCCAGGCCAGUCGGGACUACCCCGCUGAAUUUAAGCAUAUCAAU